CAGAUUUGAUCCUGGCUCAGGAUGAACGCUAGCUACAGGCUUAACACAUGCAAGUCGAGGGGCAGCAUGAACUUAGCUUGCUAAGUUUGAUGGCGACCGGCGCACGGGUGAGUAACACGUAUCCAACCUGCCGAUGACUCGGGGAUAGCCUUUCGAAAGAAAGAUUAAUACCCGAUGGCAUAGUUCUUCCGCAUGGUAGAACUAUUAAAGAAUUUCGGUCAUCGAUGGGGAUGCGUUCCAUUAGG
rnacentral:rRNA from 1 species